rnacentral:rRNA from 1 species
CCGCUCUAAGUUCUGGAGGGGACCGAGGUUAGUCACAUGCUCGUGAUGCUGGCUAAAUGGUUUUCUUUACCCCGUCUUGAAACACGGACCAAGGAG